rnacentral:tRNA from 1 species
GGGGUCUUAGCUUAGUUAAAGUGUCUGGAUUGCAGUCAGGAGAUGUAGAUUAGAGUUUUACAGGCCCU